GUCUUUUUAGGGCUGCACCCGCGGCAUAUGGAGGUUCCCAGGCUAGGGGUCUAAUUGGAGCUACAGCUGCUGGCCUACACCACAGCCACAGCAACUCGAGAUCUGAGCCAUGUCUGUGACCUGCAGCACAGCUUAUGGCAGCACUGAAUCCUUAACCCACUGGGUGAGGCCAGGGAUCAAACCUGCAACCUCAUGUUUCCUAGUCGGAUUUGUUUCCACUGCACCACAGUGGGAACUCCUAGAAAAAUUAGAUUCUUAAGGGACCUGGCACCCCAGUAUGGUGCUAAACCCCUCUGUCCCUCCCCAGGUCUAGGGGUGUGGUGGCCUGAUCUUGGGAGGCCUACUGCCAGGAGGGGGUCCCCACCUCCCCUCUCAUAUGCAGUCCUGGCCAGCCUGACCUGGCAUGGUGCUGGCUGACUGCCCCACGUCAGUUCUUUUAUCUCAUCCGGGGUCAGCUCUGGGUGGGCAGCCUUGGCACAGCACCCCUAUGCUCUUCCCCUCCCAUGGUCAUCUAGCUCUGCCUGCGUCUUUUGUCUCUCUCACGGCCCCAGGCCCCUAACUAAGCUGAGUAUAGCUGCUCUCCUCUCUCUGGUGGAGGAAUUGCCUUUCCCUAGAGAUGCCUUGCUUCCGCUGAUUGAUUUGCUGCAGGUGAAACCCGCCCGGUCUGCUGCUUGUCGGAGCCACUUUGCAAAGUGCUUCCUCUGCAGUGGCCUUGACAACGAGGAAGGGAGCUGGCGAGCCCUGAGGUGGGUGCGCAGCAGUGGUGGGCCAUGGUUUUUGGCUCGAUGUCCCUGAUGCCUUGUAUAUUAAAGAUUUUCACCACAUCUGAACAUAGACAGCAGGAGAGGAGAGCAGGGGUAGAGGAGUUUGGACCUUCAACACGCGUGUUUCCGUGGUUUCCAUCACCUUGACCUGCUGGGCAGGCAGGUUUGGGGAGCGGAGGGGCUCUGGGAGCAGAGACAGGCCCCAGAACCCCCAGCUGCGCCCACACCCCCUCCAUCACCUGCCCCAUUGUCUUUCCCUUCUGAGGCCUUGGCUUUCCCAGCUCACCACGUGGGGGCCGUUCCUGUCGAGGCUUGUAAAAAUCAGCCUUUGAGAAAGAAAAGGGAACUUUUCCUGUUGAAUGUUGGCUCUGUGUGUGUGUGUGUGUGUGCGUGUUUGUGGGUGUUUUUAAUGGAUUUUAUUUUUGUGAAAUACCUUGACAAUUAUGUAGCAAAAUUCGCUUUUAUCUCCCAGUCAACCUUUUGGUUCCAGAGUCAACCCUGGGUGUCGCUAAUUGGAAGAAUUCUCUCCUGGGUAUGUGAACAGAGAGGUGCCAUCCUCAAGAGUUGAGGUGGUGGAGAGGGUUGGGAGAAACUGAAGUUCGAUACAUUUCCAUAAAGUUUCCUUCCUGCAGUUAAAAGGUAGGAGACAUGGAGCCGAGGCUGUGUGUCCCCGAGGGAACUGGCACGAGGCCCCUCCCUCGGCGCCCUUGCUGCUGCUUUAUCUGAAUCUGUUCACACUCGUGUUUGUGGGCUUCUUCUGUAACGCCACAGCUGAAACAGCACGUUCUUUUCCUUUUUCUGCUUUCAGUUCAUUGUGUAAAUGGUUCAUUUUUUUCUCUUGUGAGCUCCGGUGACUGUGUCAGGGCUUCUGUAGCAAACAGUCACCCCUCGUGGGCAGAAAAACAAAACCCAAGAAGAGUCUUGCUCACCGGAGGCCCCAAGCCUCAGGCCUGCGCCAUCCAGAGCAAGGCCGUUUAUGCUCCGCUGUUGAGAAGCACCUUUCCACCAGCUGUAUUCAACACUACAAUGCAGUUUGAAAACUAUAUUUGCAUCCAAGACAAUAAAAGGCCAUAUUUUUUGAAAACCCUGUGAUUUGUCGUUCCCCUUGAGCUAUGGAGGAGGUGACAAAAUGAGAUCAGGGCAAAGUGAUGCCCACAAGUGGCUCCCUCAUUCUAGGGUUGGGGGUGUGGGUGCAGCCUGGCGGUGCUGUGGGUGAGGAGACAGACCCAGGAUGGCAGGGGCUCAGGAGGUAUGUCCUGGAGGACAGUGGGCCUAAAGAGAAGCCUCUGCUGAACGGCCCAGCAGGAUGGACUCUACCUGGGAAUGCACCAGGCUGUGGUAUUGCAGGCCUUUCCCAGGUGGACAGAGUCCAGUGAUGCUUGUGCAGACUUGCACACUUCCUAGUGUGGAACAUGGGCAAAUAGCACCCCCCCGCACUCUUUACAGGAGGUGGUGAGGUUCCCAUGUAGUCGGAUGCAUCCAGUGCUUAAGAGAGCGCAUGUUACCACCAACGUGGCCAGCACCAGCCCCUGCACAGAAUGGGGUCCAUGUUGUGGAGGUGCCCGGGUGGCUGUGGGCUCCCUGCUGACGCUGACCCAGUACUGUAGGCAGAGAACACUAGGAGGUUGACCGCAGAGAUGUCCCUUUGUUGUGCUGGGAUUUUGAUCUCUGUUUAAUCUAGAAGCUUUUCUUUUGGCUCUGCCAUCUUUCCGUGCCCGCCCCCCUGCCCCCCAGCGCCUUGUGUCUGGGCAGGGUGACCCGGUAAGAUGAACCAUGCCAUCCCAUCUCAGGCUGCUGGCUUAUUCACUGAACAGCUGCCCAGAUCCAUAUCUCGACUAAAAUGCAGUGGGCUGAUACACAGGCUCUUGUCUGAUCAAACCCCCACUCCUCCCCCAAGGGAAAAAGUCUUCAUGACACAAAGCAAGAUUUGGGGCCUUGAGAACCGGGGGCCCUAGAGGGAGAGGUAAGUGGUUGUGCCUUUGGGUUGGAGGGAGCUCAACUAUUGAGAUAAUCAGUGGCUGUCCAGUUGGUUCUUCUAACUUGGGAGCCCACCCCAUGUCAUGUACAGAACCUUAAAAGAUAACUUGGGGCAUAAUUAGAAGAAGGGAGAGGUCGGAUCUGGGGAAGGGAGGAGAAGAGUCUGGAGGGGGAGGCCAGGGCACUGGAGCUUCAAUUCCUCAGCGUCAGGUGCUGGGCCACCUCGGGGACAGGGACACCCCUGGACAGUUCUCAAGUUUUUCCUCACAGAGGAAGAAAUGGAAGUUGUUUCCAAGGUGACAGGGCUGCACUGGUCAGAGUGAGAAGGCUGGUUUCAUUUUUUUAUCCUGCAAAGGGCCUCUCCAUCCACCAAGUUGGAAGAUUAUCCAUGGUAUCCUCCCCUUCCCUCCCCUUCCCCGACACCAAGCGCUGUUAAGUCUGUCCUCCAGAUUUCUUCCAAACACAUAGUCCACUUCACUCCGUCCCCAGUGUCCCCAGUACCCAAGUCCAAGUUGCCACUGUUUCUCAAGUUCACACAACAGUGUCCUCCAUCCCUUCUGUCUGGUGGCCUCUUCUGGUCAGGGAACCUGAGGAAGCCCACCCCCCACAGGCCUCCCCACCGUCCUUCCAGGGCUUCCAGAUAAAGGCCAGUCCCCCCGACCCCACUGAGUCCAUCCUGCCCGCGCCGGCCUUUCCAACCUCAUUUCUGCUUUUUUCAGUUCCUUGAAUAUGCUGUGCUUUGCUUUGUUUCACUCUAGGUUUUCCCAGGUCUCCUUCCUCUGCCCACAUCUUUCCCCUUCUCUACCCCUUUUCCUAUCAAGCUCCUACUCUCUCUUCCCAUCUUAGUCCUUACAUGUCAGGGAGUUCCGGUUGUGGCUCAGCAGUAACGAACCCGACUAGAAUCCAUGAGGUUGAGGGUUGGAUCCCUGGCCUCGCUCAGUGGGUUAAGGAUCCUGCAUUGCCGUGAACCCGACUAGAAUCCAUGAGGUUGAGGGUUGGAUCCCUGGCCUCGCUCAGUGGGUUAAGGAUCCUGCAUUGCCGUGAACUGCGGUGUAGGUCACAGAUGCAGCUCGGAUCCCAAGUUGCUAUGGCUAUGGUGUAGGCCAGAGGCUACAGCUCUCAUUCGACCCCUAGCCUGGGAACUUCCAUAUGCCGUGGGUGCAGUCCUAAAAAGACCAAAAAUAUAUAUAUAUAUUAAAUGUCAGAAACCAGCCUUAGUGUGUGUGUCAUCCCCCAAACCCCCCAAAACACAGGUCCGCACGUGCACGUGCACAUACACACACAUACAUGCACACAUCCAGUCAGGCCUCGGAGCACCUCAUAUUUUCUCAGGGUGCAGGUCAUGUUUGUGAUUAUCGUUCACCUUCCCCACCAGGUUCCGAGACCCUUUGGGACAAGGUGCCUGUGGCCACUGCUGUGCCCAGCUCAGAAUUGUCACAUGGCAGGUGCCCCUGGGAACCUGUUCUGUGCGCCCUUGGCCCUGUGCCUGCCGCCCUUCCCCAUCUCCGAGUCAGACAGGCGCAGGGUGUGGGGAGCCUGACCAGAUAGGACAGGAGGAGAGAGGAGGGGGCAACUAUUGGAUGCAGACGUCAAACUCAGGUAGGUGUUGAGCAAGGUUUAAAGGUUGGAUCCUAUGAUUACAGAUUUAAUAUUAAACUUUAGUAAUUCAGGUUGUAAAUGUGAUGAGAAUAGCCUCCAAACGGCAUUUAAAAGCAUUUCAUCUUGGACUUGGCCUUGAUUCUAUAGAAUACAGUUUACCAUCUUUAGUAGCUCUUUUUUUGUUGUGUCAGGCUCUGAAUUUAGCCUGGUGUAGGGUGGUGUGAUGACAUGUAAUGUGUGCUUUUACCUUUUUAUUUCAGAACAUUGCCAGCAUACACAGAAGCAGAGAGAAGAGUAUAAUGAAACCUCACGUGCCCGACCUCCACUUGAACAAUCACCAACUCAGGGCCAAUUUUGUUUGAUACAUACCUCACCUCACUCCCGUUAUUUAGAAGCAAAGCCCAGAUGCCUUAGUCUGCCAUCAAGAUGCGUGUGCUGAAGGCCGAAUUUGAACUCAGCUCAGGGGACAUAACGGUGACUUUAUUGACAAAGAGGACAAAACCGAUCUUGAUACUGAGUGAAGGGAGACAUACAGCAUGCCAUAGAAGAAGAGUGGCAGGGACCACUCCUGGGUGGGAGGAUCGCCCAGUAGGUGGCUCCCAGCCAGGACCCAGCGAGACACCAGCGUCUGCCAGGCAGAGGGCGAGACCCACGGGGGGAGCUCCCUUCACAGAAGACGUGUUGACCAACCACAACGCCUCCCUGUGCGUCCACCUUUGCUUUUGUCUAUUUACUUAUUUACUUAGUUUGCUUUUUAGGGCCACACCAGCAGUAUAUGGAGGUUCCCAGGCUAGAGGUCAGAUUGGAGCUGCAGCUGCUGGCCUACACCACAGCCACAGCAACACAGGAUCCUUAGCACACUGAGUGAGGCCUCAAAAGACUGCACAGUGGGGAUUAUUACCCUCAUUUUACACAGGAGGAAACUAAUGCUUACCUCCCAUGGUGGAGCAGUCAGCAAACUGGCCGAAGACGGGAAGUUCUUCAACUAAUAAAGGCGUCUAAGAACACCCCACAGUAAACAUAUUUUUAAUGAUGAAUGGCUGAAUACUUUCCAUGUGUAAUAGGGGCAAGGCAAGGAUGUCUGUUGUCACCAGGACCAUACAGCAUUUUUCUGGAAGGUUUAGUCGGAUCAGGUUAGGAAGACAUUCCCAUUAGAAAGGAGUGAAAAUGCUCUGUGCAAAUGACAUGAUGCUUUAUAUGGAAAACCCUAAAGAGUACACACACACAUACACAUGUAAGAGCCAGUAAGUGAGUUCAACAAGGUCCCAGGAAACAAGAUCAAUAUGCAAAAUUCAGCUGCAUUUCUGAACUCUAGCAAUGAACAACUCAAAAAUGAAACUAAGGAAACUCUUCCAUGUACAAUAACAUCAAAGAGAAUAAAAUGUUUUAGGAUAAAUUUAAUCAGGGAAGGGCAAGACUUCUACACUGACACCUGUAAAACGUUGUUGAUUAUUCAGCCAUAAAAAGGGAUUAAUUGAUACAACAACAUGGGUGAACUUCAAACACAUGAUGCUAUGUGGAAGGAACCAGACACAAAAGGCCACGUACUGUAUGAUCCCAUAUAUGUGAAAUGCCCAGCAUAGUAAAUCCAAAGGGAUAGAAAACAGAUUGGUAUUGGCAGCAAGGAGGCGGAGCAGAAGUGUACUUAAUGGAUAUGGGGUGUCCUUUUGGGGUGAUGCCAUUUUGGAACUUCAUAUACGUGCCAGUUACAUUGUGAAUGUCCUAAGUGCCACUGAAUUGUACAGUUUAAGAUGCUUCAUUUCACGUUACAUGAAUUUCACCUCAAUUUUUGUAAAUGUUGAAAGAAACUAAAGAAGGCCUAAAUAAAUGGAAAAACAUCUUGUGU
rnacentral:lncRNA from 1 species